AACCGCCGGAUGCUUGGAAACUUGCUUGUCCGGUGGUGUGGGAGGCUUAAUAUAAUAAAUCUAUUUAAAAAUAGUAAAACGUAUUAAUUCUAUCUCGAU
rnacentral:ncRNA from 1 species